rnacentral:rRNA from 1 species
CCACUCGCGAAUUAUACCGUACCCCCCAAGUGGACCUCGGGAAAGCUUGGGCGGCUGUCUUUCGGGUCAGUCGGGCUCCCCGCAAGGGUGAGUCGGCAGCCAUUUCACACACCCAACUAAUAUGUCUGUCUGAAGAUGAUUCGGCUCAGCACUGCUGGUCGAUUAACUAAGACAACUCUCAACAACGGAUAUCUAGGCUCUCGCAACGAUGAAGAACGCAGCGAAAUGCGAUACGUAGUGUGAAUUGCAGAAAUGGGUGAAUCAUCGAAUCUUUGAACGCAUAUUGCGGUCGANGCUUCGGCUGAGACCAUGUCUGCCUCAGCGUCGGUGUGAACCCUCACUCCCCCCUUCUGGGGUUCGAGUGGAUCUGGCCUCCCCACCGCUUGCGAUGGGCUGGCUGAAAUUCANAGGUUUAAGCUUGGACCUGUAUGGCAACAGCAAGGUANGUANAUUUCUACUCAGCUGAUGCUUUGGGCACUUGNCAGAAAGGGGAAUUCUCACCUUUUCGACCUGAGAUCAGGCAAGGCUACCCGCUGAACUUAAGCAUAUCA